rnacentral:rRNA from 1 species
UGAAUACGAGAUGCUACGGCGUCGAAGCAGUGUAUGUCAGACUUCCAAGAAAAGCUCGCAAUGUCAUAAAUAAAGAAUGCCUGUACCAUAACCGACACAGGUGGGUAGGUAGAGUAUACUAAGGGGCGCGAGAUAACUCUCUCUAAGGAACUCGGCAAAAUAACUCCGUAACUUCGGGAGAAGGAGUGCCUUCUUUAAGAAGGUUGCAAUAACAAGAUCCAAGCAACUGUUUAUCAAAAACACAGGUCUCCGCUAAGUCGUAAGACGAUGUAUGGGGGCUGACGCCUGCCCAGUGCCAGAAGGUUAAAGAAGUUGGUUAGCUUUUGCGAAGCUGAUGACUGAAGCCCUGGUGAACGGCGGCCGUAACAAUAACGGUCCUAAGGUAGCGAAAUUCCUUGUCGGGUAAGUUCCGACCCGCACGAAAGGCGUAAUGAUUUGGAUACUGUCUCGGAGAGGGACUCGGUGAAAUAGACUUGUCUGUGAAGAUGCGGACUACCUGCACCAGGACAGAAAGACCCUAUGAAGCUUUACUGUAACUUGAAAUUGAAAUUGGACUUUAUUUGCGCAGUAUAGGUGGAAGGCGUUGAAAGUAAUCUUGCGGGAUUAGUGGAGCCAUCAGUGAGAUACCACUCCUAUAAUGUUAGAUUUCUAACUUUGGAUCAUGAUCUGGUCAAAGAACAGUUUCAGGCGGGCAGUUUGACUGGGGCGGUCGCCUCCCAAAUGGUAACGGAGGCGUACAAAGGUUUCCUCUGAACGGGUAGAAAUCGUAUCUAGAGUGUAAAGGCAUAAGGAAGCUUGACUGUGAGACCUACAAGUCGAGCAGGGACGAAAGUCGGUCUUAGUGAUCUGACGGUGCUGAGUGGAAAGGCCGUCACUCAACGGAUAAAAGUUACUCUAGGAUAACAGGCUGAUCUCCCCCAAGAGUUCACAUCGACGGGGAGGUUUGGCACCGAUGUCGGCUCAUCGCAUCCUGGGGCGGUAGUACGUCCCAAGGGUUGGGCUGUUCGCCCAUGAAAGCGGUACGCGAGCUGGGUUCAGAACGUCGUGAGACAGUUCGGUCCAUAUCCGGUGUAGGCGUUAGAAUAUUGAGAGGAGCCUUCUUUAGUACGAGAGGACCGAGAAGGACAUACCUCUGGUGUACCAGUUAUCGUGCCAACGGUAAACGCUGGGUAGCUAUGUAUGGAGAGGAUAACCGCUGAAAGCAUCUAAGUGGGAAGCCCACCUCAAGAUGAG